AUGCAGUCGAACGGUGAUAGCAAUAUCAUAGUGGCGCACGGGUGCGUAACACGUAUGCAACCUACCUUAUACUGAGGGAUAGCCUUUCGAAAGGGAGAUUAAUACCUCAUAACACAUUGAACUGGCAUCAGUUUAUUGUUAAAGAUUUAUUGGUAUAAGAUGGGCAUGCGUCCAAUUAGUUAGUUGGCGAGGUAACGGCUCACCAAGACGAUGAUUGGUAGGGGAACUGAGAGGUUAAUCCCCCACACUGGCACUGAGAUACGGGCCAGACUCCUACGGGAGGCAGCAGUAGGGAAUAUUGGGCAAUGGAGGCAACUCUGACCCAGCCAUGCCGCGUGCAGGAAGAAGGCGUUAUGCGUUGUAAACUGCUUUUAUAUAGGAAGAAAUAGACCUUGCGAGGUAAGUUGACGGUACUAUAUGAAUAAGCACCGGCUAACUCCGUGCCAGCAGCCGCGGUAAUACGGAGGGUGCAAGCGUUGUCCGGAUUUAUUGGGUUUAAAGGGUGCGUAGGCGGUUUACUAAGUCAGUGGUGAAAGACGGUCGUUCAACGAUUGCAGUGCCAUUGAUACUGGUAGACUUGAGUGGGAUUGAGGUAGCUGGAAUGGAUAGUGUAGCGGUGAAAUGCAUAGAUAUUAUCCAGAACACCAAUUGCGUAGGCAAGUUACUAAGUCUCAACUGACGCUGAG
rnacentral:rRNA from 1 species